GUGGGGAAUAUUGCGCAAUGGCCGAAAGGCUGACGCAGCGACGCCGCGUGUGGGAGGAAGCCCCUCGGGGUGUAAACCACUGUCGGGAGGGACGAAACCCGGACGGGCAAAUAGCCCGGACGAUUGACGGUACCUCCAAAGGAAGCACCGGCUAACUCCGUGCCAGCAGCCGCGGUAAGACGGAGGGUGCAAGCGUUGUUCGGAAUUACUGGGCGUAAAGCGCGGGCAGGUGGUCUUUUAAGUCCUUUGUGAAAUCCCGGGGCUCAACUCCGGAUGUGCAUAGGAUACUGGAAGACUUGAGACUGGUAGAGGCGAGCGGAAUUCCUGGUGUAGCGGUGGAAUGCGUAGAUAUCAGGAAGAACACCGGUGGCGAAGGCGGCUCGCUGGGCCAGUUCUGACACUCAUCCGCGAAAGCGUGGGGAGCAAACAGGAUUAGAAACCCUGGUAGUCC
rnacentral:rRNA from 1 species